rnacentral:rRNA from 1 species
CGGACGGGUGAGUAAUGUAUGGGGAUCUGCCUGAUGGCGGGGGAUAACUACUGGAAACGGUAGCUAAUACCGCAUAAUGUCUGCGGACCAAAGCGGGGGACCUCCGGGCCUCGCGCCAUCAGAUGAACCCAUAUGGGAUUAGCUAGUAGGUAAGGUAACGGCUUACCUAGGCGACGAUCCCUAGCUGGUCUGAGAGGGUGAUCAGCCACACUGGGACUGAGACACGGCCCAG